rnacentral:snoRNA from 2 species
AGGUCUUGUGGACGAAGACUUAUGGACAGGUGCAAAACAUAAAUCCUCUUCUGCAACCCAGAACUUAUUGUUCAGUAUGAGUUUUGAUACAUGUAAGAAGGGAUAUU